AUUUGAGUUCUCCUUAACGAAUUGUCAUUAAAAACAACUCAUUAAACUCUCGAGCCCAAUCACUUGCUUAUUUAUAGUAUAACCCUCAAUUAAUCUACCACUACCAUUGUAGUAAGAAAAUUUUGAGUUUGCCGUCAUCACCCUUUCCCUUUUACUUUUCUAUCGUGAAUAGUUAUAAACUAAAGAAAAUUUGUUAAAAAAUUAAGAAUGAAUUCUUUUGAUUUGUAAAUUUGUACUUGACCUCAUACUAAAGGUGUUAAAGGGGCAAAUUAACACAUUGUUGUACUAAAGAGACAUCUAAGAAUUAUAAAAAAAUUGGAAGUCUUUUUAUUACAACUCCAUAAGUACUAAAACCAGUAUUUAAUUGAUGUAAUCAGAAUAUGAGUUUGAUAAAUCAAAAAGUGAUAAAAUAAAAUUCUAUUUUUUUUUUUUGGUUUAAUACAUACAAAAAGUAGAAAAUAUGAAUAAAAUUUUCAGGUUUGUUAAUUUUAUGAUGAUUGUUCUUUCCCUAUUUAUUGUUUCAACGCAAAGCCAACGCCGUGGUCCCGUGAGUUGUAUUACUGAUCGUGAUUGUCCAUAUAAGGCCUUCUCCUCGUAUGGCAAACGUCCUGUAAGAAUGAGGUGUCGUAAAGGUUUUUGUGAAUGACAAUAAUUAUAAAGCUCCAAAGAUUAUAUAAUUAUCAAACCCAAAUUAAAAGAAUACACAACGCGCUACUAGAUAUUCCAUGAGUCCUUAUUUAGUUCAUGUGAUAAUCCACUAAAUAAAUUUUCUUUUAAUUUUUCUAAUUUCAGGUACCUUGUUAGUUUUGCACUUUAAGAUGAUGCGAAAUGAAAUAAAGCAUGAAUAAUAUUAUCUACACUUUCUUCUCUA